rnacentral:rRNA from 1 species
GACGAACGCUGGCGGCGUGCUUAACACAUGCAAGUCGAACGGAAAGGCCCUGCUUUUGUGGGGUGCUCGAGUGGCGAACGGGUGAGUAACACGUGAGUAACCUGCCCUUGUCUUUGGGAUAACUUCAGGAAACUGGGGCUAAUACCGGAUAGGAGCUCCUGCUGCGUGGGGGGGGUUGGAAAGUUUCGGCGGUUGGGGAUGUACUCGCGGCUUAUCAGCUUGUUGGUGUGGUAGUGGCUUACCAGGGCUUUGACGGGUAGCCGGCCUGAGAGGGUGACCGGCCACAUUGGGACUGAGAUACGGAGCAGACUCCUACGGGAGGCAGCAGUGGGGAAUAUUGCACAAUGGGCGGAAGCCUGAUGCAGCAACGCCGCGUGCGGGAUGACGGCCUUCGGGUGAUAAACCGAUUUCGCCUGUGACGAAGCGUGAGUGACGGUAAUGGGUAAAGAAGCACCGGCUAACUACGUG